ACACCGGAUGUCCACCCCGGAAGUUCGAUCUCAUCGGAGUAGCUGAAACUUCCAUAGAGCUGGCGGACAUUUUGGUAAUCCGAGCUAGGAGGACAAUCUGGAGAUCCCGUCGGAAAUCGAACUUAGCUGGGAAAUUAAAAUACUACGGUUAGGCAUGGCUCUGCAGUUAUGGCGACAUCCAGACCUCGGAUCUGGAGUCCGGAUUAUCUCUUCGGCAUCUUGGCCGCGACAUCGUCUUCAAAUAAUCCCAACCCGGGUUACUUGGAAAUAUUGGUAAUGAAAAACCGAGAGUGUUGCCGAAGAAUCAACAGCCGCCUCCUACACCAAAAGUGAUGUGACUAAUCAGACCAGAAAACGAGUUGUAAUCUAGGUUGUAAUGAACAUAAAAAUAAAUUUUGUUCGAAAUUAAA